rnacentral:rRNA from 1 species
AUUGAACGCUGGCGGCAGGCCUAACACAUGCAAGUCGAACGAGUAGCGGAGGGGUGAGUAAGGUAUGGGAAACUGGCUGACGGAGGGGGAUAACGACUGGAAACGUUGGCAACAAGCGCUUACAGUCGUUUGUGGCCAGAUGGGAUUAGCUAGUAGGUGGGGUAAAGGCUCACCUAGGCGACGAUCCCUAGCCGGUCUGAGAGGAUGACCAGCAACACUGGAACUGAGACACGGUCCAGACUCCUACGUGAGGCAGCAGUAGGGAAUAUUGCACAAUGGGCGAAAGCCUGAUGCAGCCAUGCCGCGUGUAUGAAGAAGGCCUUCGGGUUGUAAAGUACUUUCAGCGGGGAGGCGUUACCCGCAGAAGAAGCACCGGCUAACUCCGUGCCAGCAGCCGCGGUAAUAC